rnacentral:rRNA from 1 species
GACGAACGCUGGCGGCGUGCUUAACACAUGCAAGUCGAACGGAAAGGCCCUGCUUUUGUGGGGUGCUCGAGUGGCGAACGGGUGAGUAACACGUGAGUAACCUGCCCUUGACUUUGGGAUAACUUCAGGAAACUGGGGCUAAUACCGGAUAGGAGCUCCUGCUGCAUGGUGGGGGUUGGAAAGUUUCGGCGGUUGGGGAUGGGCUCGCGGCUUAUCAGCUUAUUGGUGGGGUAGUGGCUUACCAAGGCUUUGACGGGUAGCCGGCCUGAGAGGGUGACCGGCCACAUUGGGACUGAGAUACGGCACAGACUCCUACGGGAGGCAGCAGUGGGGAAUAUUGCACAAUGGGCGGAAGCCUGAUGCAGCAACGCCGCGUGCGGGAUGACGGCCUUCGGGUUGUAAACCGCUUUCGCCUGUGACGAAGCGUGAGUGACGGUAAUGGGUAAAGAAGCACCGGCUAACUACGUG